GCGCCCUUAGCUCAGCUGGUAGAGCAACUGACUCUUAAUCAGUGGGUCGAAGGUUCGAUUCCUUCAGGGCGCA
rnacentral:tRNA from 1 species